rnacentral:lncRNA from 1 species
AUGUGUGUUAUAGAUGGAUCUGAGAACGCUGUCUGGGCUUGGUGCCAAGGGCUGGUAUUUCACAGCAGCGACCGCCUCACAGACGAGCUGUGGGAAGCAGGAGGGAGACUCUCUCUUAGGGUGCCACUACUAUGGAGACACAGCUGGGCUGAACAAGAUUUGCUUCAAACGACAACAAGAGAGACAGAAAGUAUCUGGUUCAACCGCUGCCCGAGCAGGCAGGCACCAGAAGAGCUAGCAGCCAAUCCGGCCAUGCUCGAAGCCAGCUCUGCAGCUCAGCCAAUCAGUGACAUCACUGAGGACUGUUUUUCUUCAAUCCCUAAGGAUUCAGCUCCUUACGUGGGUUUUGCUGGAGGUCAUGGGGCAGCACCAGGAGGUCUAAAUCAUGCUUUCUUUAGCUUGCCCAUGGUGAUGUGA